CGCGUAGGCGGAUAGUUAAGUUGGGGGUGAAAGCCCGGGGCUCAACCUCGGAACUGCCUUCAAUACUGGCUAUCUUGAGUACGGGAGAGGUGUGUGGAACUCCGAGUGUAGAGGUGAAAUUCGUAGAUAUUCGGAAGAACACCAGUGGCGAAGGCGACACACUGGCCCGUUACUGACGCUGAGGCGCGAAAGCGUGGGGAGCAAACAGGAUUAGAUACCCUGGUAGUCCACGCCGUAAACGAUGAGUGCUAGUUGUCGGGCGGCAUGCCGUUCGGUGACGCAGCUAACGCAUUAAGCACUCCGCCUGGGGAGUACGGUCGCAAGAUUAAA
rnacentral:rRNA from 1 species